AGAGUUUGAUCCUGGCUCAGGAUGAACGCUAGCUACAGGCUUAACACAUGCAAGUCGAGGGGCAGCAUGGUCUUAGCUUGCUAAGGCCGAUGGCGACCGGCGCACGGGUGAGUAACACGUAUCCAACCUGCCGUCUACUCUUGGACAGCCUUCUGAAAGGAAGAUUAAUACAAGAUGGCAUCAUGAGUCCGCAUGUUCGCAUGAUUAAAGGUAUUCCGGUAGACGAUGGGGGAUGCGUUCCAUUAGAUAGUAGGCGGGGUAACGGCCCACCUAGUCUUCGAUGGAUAGGGGUUCUGAGAGGAAGGUCCCCCANAUUGGAACUGAGACACGGUCCAAACUCCUACGGGAGGCA
rnacentral:rRNA from 1 species